rnacentral:rRNA from 1 species
CUACACUUGACAUGCCCUUUAGGACUUUCAGAGAUGAUUGUUUUCAGUUCGGCUGGGAGGAGCACAGGUGCUGCAUGGCUGUCGUCAGCUCGUGUCGUGAGAUGUUGGGUUAAGUCCCGCAACGAGCGCAACCCUUAUCGUAUGUUGCCAGCAUUUAGUUGGGCACUCAUGCGAGACUGCCGGUGAUAAGCCGGAGGAAGGCGGGGGCGACGUCAAGUCAUCAUGGCCCUUACGUGUAGGGCUACAAACGUGCUACAAUGGCGUUAACAAUGGGCAGCGAGGUCGCGAGGCCAAGCUAAUCCUUAAAAAACGUCUCAGUUCAGAUUGUACUCUGCAACUCGAGU